AAAUAAAAUUACCCUAGUUAAAAGACUCCAACCAUUAGGGCACAAACACCCCAAUUCCUCUCCUCUCUAUCAGACUCCCACUUUCACUCUUCUUCAACAAAUACAUGAAGCUGAAAUUUGAAGUCGUGCGUUGAUUUUAGGGAUUGUAUGUCCUUGAUAAGAUAAGCUUCUUUGUGAUUUCAUUCAUGUAUUGUAGAUCUGGGCGAGAAUCAUGUUCAUCCUGUCUUGUGCUUUAUUUUGGUAUUUUAUUUUCAAAGUUUCUCCAUCUUUAUUCCAGAUUUUCUCUACUCUUUGUUAAUGUUUUUCCCCCUCGGAAAAAUUCUGCAGAAAUAGCCAUGUAUGCAUGUGAUUUUCUUGGUAAUUACCAGCUUUAUACUUGUUAUAAUGUUAAAACCCCACACAUUGGUUCCUUUAAAAAGAGUUCUUUUUCUCAAUCUUGGUCAAACAGGCCAAAUGGUUCAUCUUAUUUUCACAAGUAUUCUCAAUUUGGAAGAAGCAAUUUUGUUAUAGUGAAGGCUUCAGAUUCAUUCAAGAACUACCAGAAAACAAGUAGAGAAGGCUUUCUACUGGGAUUCUUCAAUUGAUAGUGCGGUGCGGAUCCAAUGGGAGGCGUAGGGCAGCAAAAAGAUAUAGUGAUUCUGUUAGCAAACUAAAAUCAAAUGGGGUGCAACCGGACACUAUUCCAAAUAAUAUGUGGGAAAGUUGGUUGAGACUUUGGAAAGAUCCUAAGUGUAUUAAAAAGUUAGAAAUAAAUGCAAAAAAUCGUUGUGGUGGGAGCGGAGUUGCCACUGGACUCACACAGGUGGCUCUGUCAGUGUUGGAGAGCAUCGGAAGAGACUUGUAGGUGGAUAUAAAAUAUGCUCUAUCCUCUACUAGUAAUGCUUCAGUGUGAUUUCAUUUAAAUAAAUGGAAGGCCAAGGUACUUAGAGAAUACUUAAAAGAUUAAUAUUCAGCCUAAGUUUGUGAAUUUUGGAAGAUUAAUAUUCACCUGUUUAGAGUUGUCCUACACAGCUGCCUUAGAAUGUAAUAUCUGUGUCAUUUUCUCUUGUUUCUCCCCUAAAUAUUCAAGUUGUUUCUGCUUUGCAUACUUCUUAGCAUGGUGGAAUUAUGUAGAUUUAGGCUGGACAGAUUUGUACUAUGGAAUUAAAAUGGUUAGAUCUGAAAAAGGUCAUAACUUUGAAUAACAAAUAUGCUUAUGGUUUGUUUUUGGAAUAUAUAUUGUUCCUCAUAAAACAUCUGUUGCAUAAUUCAUUCAUUUACUUGGAAAUUUUUCUGCUCUUGAGUAUUCUACAGAUAGAUAUGAAACUUGAAAGCUGAGAUUUCCUUUCAGCAUUGAUGGACUCUAACUUGUUAUGUGUGUUGUAUAACCUAUUGUGCUGCCGUUUGAGUUAUGGAAAGCAACUAAUGCUUGCGAUCCAAUUGUGCCUUGCUCGGUAGGGUUGAUAGCCCAUGCUACCCAUCCCUUAAAAUCUUGUUUAUCUCUAUAUGCAAUUGAAAUUUUGUCCUUCCCAAAUUUGAUUGUCUUCACCUAUCCUCUUUGGCCCUCUUCAAAAUAGGGGACAAGCUCCAAACUUGGCUUUGGAAUUAAUACCAAUGUCUUCUUUUUUCCUCUCUUUAUUUAGGGAUUUUCUUGUGAAGAAACAGUUAGAAUGGAACAUUGUCAUUAUGGGAUUUGAUCGAUACUUAUGUUGUGAUAUGGAAAAUUGUUCGAAUUGGUAAUGUUUAUCAGCGAAUAUAAUAAAGUACUAUGUGACAACUUUGACUUACUAAGAUUUAUUUCCUUUCUUUCUUUUGUAUAUCACAUUUAGUCUCAUCACUGAAUCUUUAUUGCUAUUAUAGGUUGUGGUUUCUCUUUUCAUCUUCUAAUAUUAACUUGUUUAUCAAAAUGAAAUAAAUGUUUCAUGGCUCAAGUGGUCAAAAUUUUGGUGGGUGAAGUUCGUACUUCAUCCAUAAUGGGAGAUAGUCCUAAUUAAGCAUGUUUACUUUGGAAGAAAGUACUAGAACUAUUUAAAAGCAUCUUUCUUUUCUAUUUGUGGCAUAGGAGCUUCUUUUACCACUUCAAGUGUCUUACUUUAGUAAUCUAUUUUUUUUUCUUUUCUUUUGUGCGUCAAUUGUAGUUCCAGUGCAAGUAGGCUUCUAAAUAUGGAAGUUCUUUGCAAGAAUUGAAAGUUUUAGCUCUGUAGAAUACUACUCUAACUAGUCACAAUCCGAUACUAAAGUUACAGACCACAAGCUCUGUGAAAGUUCUUUGCAAUUGCAUAUUUACUGCGUUCAUUGCAGUAGUCUUCAUCUAACUACUAAAUCAGAUUACUACUCUAACUAGUCACAAUCUGAUUCUAAUGAAUCAGAAUCUAGUGAGUUGCAUUUGCACGUCCAUACACAUGGUAAUGGUGGAAAAUCUUUUGUUGCUGAGAAAUCUCGAAUCGUACAUGAAAAAUAUCAGGAGAUAUUACAACAACAACAAACACAAACUCAAUCUGAUAUUGAUCAGUGUAAAGCAUAUUAUCAAGCCGUAGGAGGAGAAAAGAAAAGAAGAGUAUAUGGUCUUGGAUCUCAAGCAAAAUGCUACUACGGGCCAAAUCUUCAUGAUUCUUUUGGAUCGGAUGCUACAUCGUCAGGAACACCUCCAAAUUCUCAUCAACACCGACAGGGAAUAUGGAUGAGUUAGUGAUGCGAUUGAUUCCUUCACUGACAGAUCAUUGUCACGACCCCAACCCCGGUCAUGAUGGCGCCCAACACACUGCAAGGCAAGCCCGACCAUUCA